rnacentral:rRNA from 1 species
ACGGGGUAGUAAGGCGUAGGUGACGUGCCCUGCGGUCGGGGAUAGCUUAGGGAAACUUAAGGUAAUACCCGAUAAUCCCACGAGGUUUGAAGACCAUGUGGGCAAAGGUGUGAUUCCACCACAGGAGCGGCUUGCGUGGUAUUAGCUAGUUGGUGAGGUAACGGCUCACCAAGGCAACAAUGCCUAGGGGAUGUCAGCGCAUGAUCCCCACCACUGGGACUGAGAUACUGCCCAGACACCUACGGGUGGCUGCAGUCGAGAAUCUUCGGCAAUGGGGGAAACCCUGACCGAGCGACGCCGCGUGUGGGAUGAAGGCCCUUGGGUUGUAAACCACUGUCAGAGGGGAUGAAGUGCCAGAAAGCUAUCUUUCUGGUUUGACAUAGCCUCAGAGGAAGCACGGGCUAAGUUCGUGCCAGCAGCCGCGGUAAGACGAACUGUGCAAACGUUAUUCGGAAUCACUGGGCUUGAAGAGUGCGUAGGCGGUUUCGUAAGUAGGGUGUGAAAGCCCUCGGCUCAACCGGGGAAUUGCGUCCUAAACUGCGAGGCUGGAGUGAGGUAGGGGUGUGUGGAACUUCCAGUGGAGCGGUG